AGUGAACGCUGGCGGCAGGCCUAACACAUGCAAGUCGAACGGCAGCAUAGUGAGUGCUUGCGCAUACGGGUGGCGAGUGGCGGACCGUGCCGGAAGAUAUCGGAAUCUACUUUUUCGGGGGUGCUAACACAGGGAAACUUACGCUAACCCAGCAUACGACGUACGGGUGAAAGCAGGGGAUCUUCGGACCUUGCGCGAUUGUAUGAGCCGAUGUCGGAUUAGCUAGUUAGCGGGGUAAAGGGGCAACAAGGCGACGAUGCGUAGCGGGUCUGAGAGGAUGAUCAGACACAUUGGAACUGAGAAACGGUCCAGACUCCUACGGGAGGCAGCAGUGGGGAAUAUUGGACAAUGGGCGAAAGCCUGAUCCAGCCAUACCGCGUGAGUGAAGAAGGACUUCGGCUUGUAAAGCGCUGUUGGUGGGAAGGAAGAGCAGCAAGUUAAUACCGCGCUGUUCUGACGGUACCGAAAGAAUAAGCACCGGCUAACUUCGUG
rnacentral:rRNA from 1 species